rnacentral:rRNA from 1 species
UACGUAGGGUGCGAGCGUUAAUCGGAAUUACUGGGCGUAAAGCGUGCGCAGGCGGUUCGUUAAGUUCGUUGUGAAAGCCCCGGGCUCAACCUGGGAACUGCAAUGGAAACUGGCGGGCUUGAGUGUGGCAGAGGGGGGUGGAAUUCCGCGUGUAGCAGUGAAAUGCGUAGAGAUGCGGAGGAACACCGAUGGCGAAGGCAGCCCCCUGGGCCAACACUGACGCUGAGGAGCGAAAGCGUGGGUAGCGAACAGG